rnacentral:rRNA from 1 species
UACGUAGGGCGCAAGCGUUGUCCGGAUUCACUGGGUGUAAAGGGUGCGUAGGCGGGAAGGCAAGUCAGAGGUGAAAUCUCACGGCUCAACCGUGAAACUGCCUUUGAUACUGCUUUUCUUGAGUUAGGGAGAGGUCGAUGGAAUUCCAGGUGUAGCGGUGAAAUGCGUAGAUAUCUGGAAGAACACCGGUGGCGAAGGCGGUCGACUGGCCCUAAACUGACGCUGAGGUGCGAAAGCGUGGGGAGCAAACAGG